rnacentral:lncRNA from 1 species
UUGAGUCGGUUACACAGUAAGAUCAUCUUGUUAGAUUAUACAGAUGUACAGAUGUACAGGUACAGUUUGAGUCGGUUACACAGUAAGAUCAUCUUGUUAGAUUAUACAGAUGUACAGAUGUACAGGUACAGUUUGAGUCGGUUACACAGUAAGAUCAUCUUGUUAGAUUAUACAGGUGUACAGGUACAGUUUGAGUCGGUUACACAGUAAGAUCAUCUUGUUAGAUUAUACAGAUGUACAGGUACAGUUUGAGUCGGUUACACAGUAAGAUCAUCUUGUUAGAUUAUACAGAUGUACAGAUGUACAGGUACAGUUUGAGUCGGUUACACAGUAAGAUCAUCUUGUUAGAUUAUACAGAUGUACAGGUACAGUUUGAGUCGGUUACACAGUAAGAUCAUCUUGUUAGAUUAUACAGAUGUACAGAUGUACAGGUACAGUUGGAGUCGGUUACACAGUAAGAUCAUCUUGUUAGAUUAUACAGAUGUACAGAUGUACAGGUACAGUUUGAGUCGGUUACACAGUAAAUUCAUCUUGUUAGAUUAUACAGAUGUACAGAUGUACAGGUACAGUUUGAGUCGGUUAGACAGUAAGAUCAUCUUGUUAGAUUAUACAGAUGUACAGAUGUACAGGUACAGUUUGAGUCGGUUACACAGUAAGAUCAUCUUGUUAGAUUAUACAGAUGUACAGGUACAGUUUGAGUCGGUUACACAGUAAAUUCAUCUUGUUAGAUUAUACAGAUGUACAGAUGUACAGAUACAGUUUGAGUCGGUUACACAGUAAGAUCAUCUUGUUAGAUUAUACAGAUGUACAGAUGUACAGGUACAGUUUGAGUCGGUUACACAGUAAGAUCAUCUUGUUAGAUUAUACAGAUGUACAGGUACAGUUUGAGUCGGUUAGACAGUAAGAUCAUCUUGUUAGAUUAUACAGAUGUACAGGUACAGUUUGAGUCGGUUACACAGUAAGAUCAUCUUGUUAGAUUAUACAGAUGUACAGGUACAGUUUGAGUCGGUUACACAGUAAGAUCAUCUGGUUAGAUUAUACAGAUGUACAGGUACAGUUUGAGUCGGUUACACAGUAAGAUCAUCUUGUUAGAUUAUACAGAUGUACAGGUACAGUUUGAGUCGGUUAGACAGUAAGAUCAUCUUGUUAGAUUAUACAGAUGUACAGAUGUACAGGUACAGUUUGAGUCGGUUACACAGUAAGAUCAUCUUGUUAGAUUAUACAGAUGUACAGAUGUACAGGUACAGUUUGAGUCGGUUACACAGUAAGAUCAUCUUGUUAGAUUAUACAGAUGUACAGGUACAGUUUGAGUCGGUUACACAGUAAGAUCAUCUUGUUAGAUUAUACAGAUGUACAGAUGUACAGGUACAGUUGGAGUCGGUUACACAGUAAGAUCAUCUUGUUAGAUUAUACAGAUGUACAGAUGUACAGGUACAGUUUG